rnacentral:lncRNA from 1 species
UAUUUUUUACAAUAUAUUUUUAAUAAGAAAACUGUCAGUUUUCUUGUGGGGAUUUUUGAUGUUUUUAUUGUAUUAAAAACUAUUGCAAAUCAGCUUACAGUUUCAAUGUAGGAAAAGGGGUCUGGCUCCUUAGGCAGGCCUGAUGUGGGCCAUAAAUAUGAUACAAAUUUUGAGAGCAGAAAAAAUCACAGGGAUAUUUCAAACUUGCUGACUUUGUGUUACCCCGUAGGAAAUGAAUCUACCAAUAAUGGGCCUUAUUAUUCCACCUCCUGUAGACUAACAAGAGCAAUUCUGGUUGUUUAUUUAGAUACACUGAUUUUGCAGACUAUACCUCGAGAUGGUUGAGCUUAAUGUGGUCAUACUUAUUUGACUAAGGGUAAAUUUUUAGCUCUGGCAGAGAGCAGAUGUAGCUGUCAACAACUUCCAAGCAUAGCUGUCUUUAAGGGAGCUCUUUCUAUUAACAGCAAACACUCAGUGAAUGAGAGGGCAGUACUUGUACAGUGCAUGUCCACAGUUACAUGCAUAUGGCAAAGCAUACUUCAGCUUUUGGUUUUGAAACUCAUCUCCCACUAAGGCCAAAGCCCUGACAUCCUUACUGCCGUGUGUCUGGGAUUUUGUUUCAGCGUAUGUCCAGUCUUAUCUUAUGAGCUGAACACCUUCAGUAUGUAUAUGUGCAAUUAGCAGUUUGUUCUUGCAUGGGUCUGUCAGGGCUUGGGAGACAUUCGGCAUGUGCAUGGGUAGGUUCCCCUGGCUUGAUUUUUCUCUGUGAGGAACCUGGUUCAUAUGCAUCGGCACUGCUCUGCAGCCAAGCCCUCAUCUGAAAGUAAUUGAGUGGCUCUCUUCAAACCUGCCUUGUUGCCCCAACCAAAACAUUAGUGUGAGCCCAGUCCCUGACAGCUCACUGCGGUUGGCUCUCUGUGGGCUGAUUUGCGUGCUGUGUUGACUGAGUUUCCUCUCAGCUCUAAAGACUGUGUAUCAUUUAUCUAUUUUUUUUACAGGUGUCAUUAUGCAAAUUAUGUAUGCAUACAAAUAUAAACACAUAUACACAAAUCUUACGUGGAUAAAUAUGUAAAAACAAACUUCAAUUAUACCUACAAACAUCCAUGUAUAUGUAUAUAUUUGCCAUAAUAUAUUAUUGCAAAGGUAUUAUCUCCACAGUUGAUGAUGGUCUGAAUGCCAUUGCAGCUACUGUUAUUGUCCUUUGGUUGGAGUGAUACCCGUCCAGCACUGCCCUUUAUUAGAAGAUUAUCCGAACUUCUCAGUUAUGCAAACAAACAAAAAUGUAUUCUGUAGGUUUGUUACAUUGGUCACAAUGUGAAGUGCAUUUGUAUGAAUUGAAAGCACAUGGGACUGCAAGCUAUAGCUACAUUACAAGUUUCCAAGGAUAUACUGCUGUCAAUGUCAUUUUUUUUAGCAAAAGUAUCUUCACCAAACCUCAAACUACACCUCAAGAAGCCAAGAAAUAAUAAUGGUGGUUUGAGGCAUGAAACAAAGGAUGGUAUUGUUGUGUGGAGGAAGCAAGCACAACCUAGUGAAACAAAAGAAUUUGUGAAGAACUUGAAAGAGAAUACCACUCAUCAUCAUGGACAGCUGAUGAAGAAGACGGAACCAGGGAAGAGUGGUUGAGAUUCUUUUUUUCUAGUUAAAGGAAGCAGGAGAUGUUCUUGCUCUAGCAAACAGCACUGACAUGAUCAAGAAUCUCUGAAAAUCCCUGGAGAGAUCUCUCCAAGCACUGUGACAGCAGGGAGGCAGGCAUUCUCUUGCUACUUUAUGAUUCAGUAAGAAAAGGAUGAGGUUCCAGAAGUGAAGGAUGUAGAAGAGAUGACUUCAGUUGGUGCACAAGACAUUUAUUUCAAGUAGCCGUUUCAGGGCUAAGACUUUGCCCACCAUCUUCACCCCCUGCAGUACUCUGGUUUCUGAAACUUCAAGCCUGCUGAGCAAGCCUGUUAGAUUCUGCGUAAAUUCUGUCUGGGUUGCUGUCUCGUCCUGUUUCAUUUUGAAGAUGAAUAUAUGCCCCCUCUUAAGAUUUGUAGCAAGCUGACCAAACACUGUCUGAAGAAGAAAAUGCAGAAGUGUGAAUGUCCUCCAAGAUAUGAUUGAAUGGGUCUCCCAUGCAGGAGAGAUAAGAGGCCUGGCUACAUCCACCUUAUCUGGAGGAAUAAGUCUUCUUCGCAAAAGAACUAAGGCUUCAUGCAGUAAGAUCUUGCAAAAUAAAACACAGAUUCACUAGAAGUGAGAGGCUGCUGGUUUUGAUGGAAAUAACAAGAAACCUGAAGUGAAGGGCAGACGAUUCUUCUGCAGCCAAGUCUUGCUGAUUUGGAGAAUGGGGAAUUCAUUCAUGCUCACCUCAUCAAAAAACUUUUGUUGAUCUUUCAUACUUGUGGAGGAAUGGCACAGCCCUGCAGGCUAGAAGACCUGAACAUGUCUCUUUUGCCU